UCCGAGUUGACCCCGGCAGUCUCCUAUGAGUCCCCGACAUUACUCGCUGGCAACAUAGGACGAGGGUUGCGCUCGUUGCGGGACUUAACCCAACAUCUCACGACACGAGCUGACGACAACCAUGCACCACCUGUGCACGACCCUUACGGACCUCCCAUCUCUGGAAGAUUUCCGUGCAUGUCAAGCCUAGGUAAGGUUCUUCGCGUUGCAUCGAAUUAAGCAACAUGCUCCGCCGCUUGUGCGGGCCCCCGUCAAUUCCUUUGAGUUUUAGCCUUGCGGCCGUAGUCCCCAGGCGGCGGACUUAAUGCGUUAGCUGCGGCGCUGAACAGCAAGCUGCCCAACGGCUAGCAUUCAUCGUUUAAGGCCAGGACUAC
rnacentral:misc_RNA from 1 species